UACGGAGGGGGCUAGCGUUGUUCGGAAUUACUGGGCGUAAAGCGCACGUAGGCGGCUUUGUAAGUUAGAGGUGAAAGCCCGGGGCUCAACUCCGGAAUUGCCUUUAAGACUGCAUCGCUAGAAUUGUGGAGAGGUAAGUGGAAUUCCGAGUGUAGAGGUGAAAUUCGUAGAUAUUCGGAAGAACACCAGUGGCGAAGGCGACUUACUGGACACAUAUUGACGCUGAGGUGCGAAAGCGGUGGGGAGCAAACAGG
rnacentral:rRNA from 1 species